GGUCAGGUGCCGAAGUGGUCAUAACGGCGUAGACUUGAAAUCUUCUGUGCUGAAUUAAGUAGGCCCGUGGGUUCGAAUCCCACCCUGACCG
rnacentral:tRNA from 1 species